AUUGAACGCUGGCGGCAUGCCUUACACAUGCAAGUCGAACGGUAACAGGUUAAGCUGACGAGUGGCGAACGGGUGAGUAAUGUAUCGGAACGUGCCCAGUCGUGGGGGAUAACUGCUCGAAAGAGCAGCUAAUACCGCAUACGACCUGAGGGUGAAAGCGGGGGAUCGCAAGACCUCGCGCGAUUGGAGCGGCCGACAUAAGAUUAGGUAGUUGGUGAGGUAAAGGCUCACCAAGCCAACGAUCUGUAGCCGGUCUGAGAGGGUGAUGGGCCACACUGGAACUGAGACACGGUCCAGACUCCUACGGGAGGCAGCAGUAGGGAAUCUUCCGCAAUGGGCGAAAGCCUGACGGAGCCACGCCGCGUGAGUGAUGAAGGUCUUCGGAUCGUAAAACGCUGUUAUUAGGGAAGAACAAAUGUGUAAGUAACUAUGCACGUCUUGACGGUACCUAAUCAGAAAGCCACGGCUAACUACGUG
rnacentral:rRNA from 1 species